UACGUAGGGUGCAAGCGUUGUCCGGAAUUAUUGGGCGUAAAGAGCUCGUAGGCGGUUUGUCGCGUCUGCUGUGAAAACUCGGGGCUUAACUCCGGGCCUGCAGUGGGUACGGGCAGACUAGAGUGCGGUAGGGGAGACUGGAAUUCCUGGUGUAGCGGUGAAAUGCGCAGAUAUCAGGAGGAAUACCGGUGGCGAAGGCGGCAUCCUGGACCGACAUUGACGCUGAGGAGCGAAAGCGUGGGGAGCAAACAGG
rnacentral:rRNA from 1 species